CUAGCCUGCUAAUAAUUCUCUAGUGGCGCACGGGUGAGUAACACGUGAGUACCUGCCCCCAAGAGCGGGAUAGCCCCGGGAAACUGGGAUUAAUACCGCAUAAAGCAAUAAAGCAGCAAUGCGCUUGGGGAUGGGCUCGCGUCCUAUUAGUUAGUUGGUGAGGUAACGGCUCACCAAGGCGAUGACGGGUAGCCGGUCUGAGAGGAUGUCCGGCCACACUGGAACUGAGACACGGUCCAGACACCUACGGGUGGCAGCAGUCGAGAAUCAUUCACAAUGGGGGAAACCCUGAUGGUGCGACGCCGCGUGGGGGAUAAGGUCUUCGGAUUGUAAACCCCUGUCAUGUGGGACAUUAAAAGAUAGUACCACAAGAGGAAGAGACGGCUAACUCUGUGCCAGCAGCCGCGGUAAUACAGAGGUCUCAAGCGUUGUUCGGAAUCACUGGGCGUAAAGCGUGCGUAGGCGGUUUCGUAAGUCGUGUGUGAAAGGCGGGGGCUCAACCCCCGGACUGCACAUGAUACUGCGAGACUAGAGUAAUGGAGGGGGAACCGGAAUUCUCGGUGUAGCAGUGAAAUGCGUAGAUAUCGAGAGGAACACUCGUGGCGAAGGCGGGUUCCUGGACAUUAACUGACGCUGAGGCACGAAGGCCAGGGGAGCGAAAGGGAUUAGAUACCCCUGUAGUCCUG
rnacentral:rRNA from 1 species